UACAGAGGUCUCAAGCGUUGUUCGGAUUCAUUGGGCGUAAAGGGUGUGUAGGUGGCGCCGUAAGUCGGGUGUGAAAUUUCGGAGCUUAACUCCGAAACUGCAUUCGAUACUGCGGUGCUUGAGGACUGGAGAGGAGACUGGAAUUCAUGGUGUAGCAGUGAAAUGCGUAGAGAUCAUGAGGAACACCGGUGGCGAAGGCGGGUCUCUGGGCCGAUACUGACGCUGAGGAGCGAAAGCGUGGGGAGCAAACAGG
rnacentral:rRNA from 1 species